CGCAGUAGACAUCGCACACGCAGCCGCCCCGGGGGUGGUGACUCGCUCGUGACUUUCUGACUGCGGGAGGGGCUGCUAAGCCGGGGCGGGAUAGGCGGCGCUUUACGGCCGGAGGAGAUGCCGUAAAGCGUGCGCGGCUGGCUUUCGGUCAGGGCCGAUGAUUGCUUGUGAAAGGUGCCUGACAACUGAGGAGUCUGAAGUCCUUGCUCCACAGAAAAGGUAGAGGCGGCAGCAGCAGUGCAAACACCCCACCAAUGGGCUUCAACUUCAUCCUGGAGGCACUAGCUCAGUUGAGAAGAGGGUGUUUCGGUUCUAAAAAUAUAGCAACACACACAUACGUUGUCACUCAGCAAUCUUCACUGGUUUUGGAAACCUUUUCAUUUUUGGAAGUUGCCAGUGUCCCAUGAUGACCAAGAGGGGAAAAUACAUACACCAGGACAAGUUUCAUGAAAUAACAAAUGUAUUCUGGACCAACAUUGCUGGGCUUGGUUGGCUGACAAGAAAGAAAGCACUUGACACUGCAUUUAGUUGCAAACAAUUCUACUGUAAGUUUUCCCAAGGUUCUGGAUACCUGCUGAAAGGCUUCAGUCUUUGGGGACCAUUCUCCUUGGAUCUGCUUAGCCAGUCUGCUGCACAGUUAAGCUGUCCCAGAACAAGUGGAGUCUUAGGAGAAUAGAGUAUGUCUAUACAGCAAAAAACAAAACAUAACCCACAUGCUCAGCAGCAAGUCUCAGUCUGGGUCUACAGAUCUGGGCUCUCAGGGCUUUGGCUACAGCACUAAAAACAGGCUGAAACCCACCAUCCCUUGAAAGCCUGAGCCCAAACGUCAACAUAGCUAUUUUUAGUGCCAUAGCAAGAGUCUGCAGAGCCAGGCUCUGAGACUCUCUGCUGGGAGAGGCAGGGGGCUUUUUUGCCAUGUAGACAUACUCUAAGAAAGGGCAGACUCCUUAGCAGGGUGCGUUAUUUGUGCCACCAUGAUGAUGAUUCAGGUAUUCACCUACUGAUGUGCCAUCAGACUUUAUGAGCACAUUUUCUCCAGAUCAGCGUUCUAAAUGCUAAGAUUGCUAACAUGACUGAUCACACCUCAAGGGCAUAUAUGUGGAACUUACUUUCACUUAAUGAUCAUGUUUCCCUGAACUGAGCUGGCAUCCUAGGAGCUCCUCAAACCAAAAGGCUUGCCUCUCAGGCAAUUUAUAUUCUAAGCAUUAGAGAGAAUGGAACCAGGUGACCAGAAAUGUGUCAAAAGGUUUCUCCUGAUCUUGGGGAAGACUACUAUUCUGGGAAGCAAGUGAAGAGAGAAAGGACAGAGACGCAUAGACGACGCCUAGAAAUGGAUCCAAGAAUCUGAGGAGAUUCUAAGUGGGAAGCAAACAAAGAAAACGAGAUUCCAGCCUCUUUCCCAAGCAAGUCCACAGAGAGAAAAGGUCAACACAGCCCAAAAUCUUUGCUUAGGGGUGAGGUGGGCGGCUUGGGUCUACUUCCAGACACAUGCACAAAAGAAAGCUGCCCUUUCCAAAAUACCAGAACUCAGCUUAUACUUAGGAAGUAAUCUCCAAAGUCUCUCUCUCCUGUAUCCUAAGUGCAAAGGCGUGACUACUUUUUCCUGAAGAAAAGGCAUAGGGAAAUACAACCGAAUGUGUUUCUUUUAAAAAAGGGAAGGGGGGAGUCUAACCAGUUUGAAGUGAACAGCUAUCAUACAGAGCUCGGAUAAACUAUUGUCCCACACCAUGGCUAAACCCAUAAUGCCCAAUGAGCCAUUUGGGAGGAGCACACAACAUUAGUGGAAUAUCUAAGCGACUCUUGAUGAACACCAUUCAGGCUAUUCUCAGCUAAAGGGACUAAGCCUAUGUCAGCAAAAUUUAUGUCACUCAAGGGUCUGAAUAUUCCAGAAUAUCCUAAGUUACACUGACAUAAGAACUUCUCCCACCAACAUAGCUUCUUCGGCUUGUGGAUGUGAGUUUUUUAUGCUGAUAGAAGAGUGCACUCCCAUUGGCAGAGCGCGUCUUUCCCAGACGCGCUGCAGCAGCACAUCUAUCAAUAUUUCUAAAACUCUGAGAAGGGAAGAAUAGAAAACCUCAUAUUGUAACUCCAACAGCCAGCAAAUAACUCAUCUGGAAACAAAUCUGUGUGGAACUUUCUAGCAGUAAACUCCACAUGUAAUACAAAGAAAACCUUUAAGCCAAUAUAUUCCAUAAAUGACAUCUUUUUUGAGCAAAGUAUAAUUGCAGAAUCCAGUCUAGGUAAGGAGAGUCAUUUAUCCCUCAAAUCUUCCGGGAGCAUAUAUGGCCUGUGCAGAUUUAUAAAAAAUCCAGGUGUGAGGAGUGAUGAAGAUGCUCUGCAUGAUCUGCUAGACUGAUGGAUGGACUAGAAGGGAAUCCUGAACAAAAUGAAUAAAACCACACAACCAUGUUAUUUUCAAUCUUCUUUAAAGACUUUAUUCCUUAGCAAGUACUGGGGGUCAACUCAGACACUAAGUCGUAAGUGUGACAUUGCAGUCUACAUGAUUUAAUAAAAAUUUGAUAAUGAGUGAAUAUAAUGUAACUGGAAUAUGCUUCAUGCAAAAGGUCUCCUGUAAGUAUCAUUACAAAGCUUAUUAUCUACUGAGUGUAUAAAUGUACCACUCUUGUAUCUGAAACUAGAAAUAUGAAAUGUAACUGAGGGCCUAUUGUAAUUAUGUAUUAAUGGUGGUUUAGAAUCUUGACGACUCCCAUUAGCCAGGACAAUUGUCUGCAGAUGGGUGUGUUUUACCUGUAAGUCUUCCUGUAUACAUGUGUGCUGGCAAGUGGGCAAUGAAGUCUUGCAGUGACAUGUGAUCAUGUCACCUGAACUGGAAUCCAUCUUUAACCUGGUGUCUUUCUAUUGAGAAGGAAGGGAUGGGAACCCAGAGAGGGACAAAGGAUUCCCGCCUUAUGCAAAAGAUAUAUAAAGGGGUGGAACAGAACAAAGAGGAGUGAAGAGCCAUCAUGAAGAAUUCCCCAGCUACCACUUGAGCUGGAACAAGAGCAGUACCAGGGGAAAGAAUUGUGCCAAAGCUUGGAAGGUGUCCAAUCGGAGGAAAAAAAUCUUAUUGAAGCAUCUCUAAGGGUGAGAUUACCUGUAUUCAAUUUGAUUAGACAUAGAUUUGCACAUUUUAUUUUGCUUGGUGACUUUCUGUAUUUAAUAAAAUCAAUUUUUUCUUA